rnacentral:lncRNA from 1 species
AUGUUGAUCCCCGUCACCUGAUCUACUUAAAAAGUUUUAGAUUUGAGAAUUUCCCCUUCCAGAUUACCACAAGGAUAAUGAGAGACAAACACCAAGUGUGCAAGAGAUCUCACUGUGAAAUGCUAGCUCUCUGGCUAUGUAAAUGCCUAUGUUUCUUCCUACUUUUAUGUAAUAUAGAGCCUUAACUUGUUUAAAAUGCUUUGGGCUAAGGUGCUUGCAUCUGGAGUGUUCAGU